rnacentral:rRNA from 1 species
AACGUAGGAGACAAACGUUAUCCGGAGUUACUGGGCGUAAAGGGCGUGUAGGUGGUUUCGUAAGCCUGGCGUGAAAUAUCUCGGCUUAACCGAGGCAGGUCGUCGGAUACUGCGGGACUAGAGGACGGUAGAGGCGUGUGGAAUUCCGGGUGUAGUGGUGAAAUGCGUAGAGAUCCGGAGGAACACCAGUGGCGAAGGCGACACGCUGGGCCGUACCUGACACUGAUGCGCGACAGCAUGGGGAGCAAACAGG